UCUGAACUUGAUUUAAAUAGAAUAAAUCAAGUACAUGGCGCUUUCAGACCACAAGGAUUAUGUUUUUCAUAAAUUAUCUAAUCAAUCACAUCAUUGAUUACAUCAGUAAUGGGAGUUAUGGAUUAUUUUAGUUGUAAAAUAUUAUGGGUAAAGAAUUAAAUAUUCAUAAUUGUAUGAUUAAUUUUAUGAACUUAUUAAUUAUUGUUAUAUAAUCAUCUAUUGUCAUUUUCCUGAUUAUUUCAAACCAAAUUUGGUUAACAAUAAAGUCACAAAAGUGGCAGAGUGCAACAUACCUAUGUGUUAUGUGAUGUUUUACUGUACAAAGAUGAAGGGCUCAGGUGGUUCAAUUUCGAGCGGAUAGAGGUUAAUUAUUUCAUGAGUGAGAAAUAAUGCUAUACGCAGUAAUGGUAUACUUUGAAAAUUAUCAAUUAUGGAUAAAUGAUUUUUAAGAUUUCUUAAAAUAUUUUAUGCAUAUUGAUGAUUUCUGUUAAGUUCGCGAGAGUUAUCUUUCCUGCGGUAUUGUCAAAGUUAUACAGCAUCUUCAUAUAUGGACACAAAAUCAACGUCGUCGGAGGUAACCAAUGAAUUUAUUCCGCGGUAAAAUCUUGGGAGCGUCAUUUUAAUAGCGUGGGUUCUCACUUCUUUCAGGACGCCGAUAGCUAAGCAUUGAAAAUUUUCAAAGCGAUCUAUAAACCACCUCCACCCCUCCACCUUCCUUUUUUAUGAACAUGUUUAUAAAAAAGAAAAAUUCUUGUGUAUUUUCUUUUUUCUUUAUUAAGCAUGGCGCUUUCAGACCACAAGGAUUAUGUUUUUCAUAAAUUAUCUAAUCAAUCACAUCAUUGAUUACAUCAGUAAUGGGAGUUAUGGAUUAUUUUAGUUGUAAAAUAUUAUGGGUAAAGAAUUAAAUAUUCAUAAUUUUAUGAUUAAUUUUAUGAACUUAUUAAUUAUUGUUAUAUAAUCAUCUAUUGUCAUUUUCCUGAUUGAUUCAAACCAAAUUUGGUUAACAAUAAAGUCACAAAAGUGGCAGAGUGCAA
rnacentral:sRNA from 1 species